UUUACAUCUGAAAAAAAAUGAAAAACACGUGUUGUUUAUGUAAAAGCUUGUCUCAUUUUCAGCCCUGUCAACUCUGUUGCCUGAUGAUGUGACCUGGAAGACUGAUUUUGUUAAUUACCUUACCCAUUUUAUCCAAUUCCUCACCAUCUCCUUGUGUGAUGUCCGUUAUUUUCAGGCAUAUUUGUUGCCAUAUGCUAUGCUGUAAAGGUUGUCAAGGACAUCAGCCGGAUGUUGCAACAGAUUUUUAUUAGAUUGAAUGGACUAUUCUAACAAGAAUGGAGAAUUCUGUUCUUGUAUAUUAUGAUUGGCUUUAUAUAUGUUAUGAGAUGAGCAAAG
rnacentral:misc_RNA from 1 species